rnacentral:rRNA from 1 species
AGUGAACGCUGGCGGCAGGCCUAAUACAUGCAAGUCGAACGGCAGCACAGCAGAGCUUGCUCUGUGGGUGGCGAGUGGCGGACGGGUGAGGAAUACAUGGGAAUCUGCCCAGUCGUGGGGGAUAACGUAUGGAAACGUACGCUAAUACCGCAUGCGCCCUUCGGGGGAAAGCCGGGGACCUUCGGGCCUGGCGCGAUUGGAUGAGCCCAUGUCGGAUUAGCUAGUUGGCGGGGUAAAGGCCCACCAAGGCGACGAUCCGUAGCUGGUCUGAGAGGAUGAUCAGCCACACUGGGACUGAGACACGGCCCAGACUCCUACGGGAGGCAGCAGUAGGGAAUAUUGGACAAUGGGCGCAAGCCUGAUCCAGCCAUGCCGCGUGAGUGAAGAAGGCCCUCGGGUUGUAAAGCUCUUUUGUCCGGAAAGAAAAGCAUUCGGUUAAUACCCGAGUGUUCUGACGGUACCGGAAGAAUAAGCACCGGCUAAACUUCGUGCCAGCA